rnacentral:rRNA from 1 species
AACGAUGAUGCCCAGCUUGCUGGGUGGAUUAGUGGCGAACGGGUGAGUAACACGUGAGUAACCUGCCCCUGACUCUGGGAUAAGCGUUGGAAACGACGUCUAAUACUGGAUAUGAUUACCGGCCGCAUGGUCUGGUGGUGGAAAGAUUUUUUGGUUGGGGAUGGACUCGCGGCCUAUCAGCUUGUUGGUGAGGUAAUGGCUCACCAAGGCGACGACGGGUAGCCGGCCUGAGAGGGUGACCGGCCACACUGGGACUGAGACACGGCCCAGACUCCUACGGGAGGCAGCAGUGGGGAAUAUUGCACAAUGGGCGAAAGCCUGAUGCAGCAACGCCGCGUGAGGGAUGACGGCCUUCGGGUUGUAAACCUCUUUUAGUAGGGAAGAAGCGCAAGUGACGGUACCUGCAGAAAAAGCACCGGCUAACUACGUGCCAGCAGCCGCGGUAAUACGUAGGGUGCAAGCGUUGUCCGGAAUUAUUGGGCGUAAAGAGCUCGUAGGCGGUUUGUCGCGUCUGCUGUGAAAUCCCGAGGCUCAACCUCGGGCUUGCAGUGGGUACGGGCAGACUAGAGUGCGGUAGGGGAGAUUGGAAUUCCUGGUGUAGCGGUGGAAUGCGCAGAUAUCAGGAGGAACACCGAUGGCGAAGGCAGAUCUCUGGGCCGUAACUGACGCUGAGGAGCGAAAGCGUGGGGAGCGAACAGGAUUAGAUACCCUGGUAGUCCACGCCGUAAACGUUGGGCGCUAGAUGUAGGGACCUUUCCACGGUUUCUGUGUCGUAGCUAACGCAUU